rnacentral:lncRNA from 1 species
CGAGCUUGUGAAACAGGUGCAGAACCACCGAGCUUAGUCCCUGGCCCAGCAGCUUGAUUUUUAAGAGAAACAUUCCAAUCUCCAAGCAACCAUCUUCAGGCCUGAUGGAUCCGAGAUACUGACGCGCA